GUACUCUCUUUGGCAACACAUAUACUUAAAUUGGAAUGAUGCAGAGAAGAUUAGCAUGGUCCCUGUACAAGGAUGACACGCAAAUUUGCGAAGCUUUCCAUAUUAUU
rnacentral:snRNA from 1 species